GAAGCUAGAUACGCGCGCUAUCUAGCGGGAGAGAGGAGGGAGCAGAGGAGGAACCGGAUGAAGAUCAGUUUCAUCGCGAUGAUCCUCAUCGUGACCGCAACCCUCUUCUAUGUGAUGGUAGUUUAGAUAUCGACUUGUAAUGUGAAGACAAACUCGCUACUCGUGGUCUCGAGACUUGUAAUGUUCUAACUUUGUUCGGUAUUUUGAAUUCGGAG
rnacentral:lncRNA from 1 species